rnacentral:rRNA from 1 species
AAGUCGAACGAUGACGUCACUGCUUGCAGUGAUUGAUUAGUGGCGAACGGGUGAGUAACACGUGAGGAACUUGCCCAUGAGCGGGGGACAACAUUCGGAAACGGAUGCUAAUACCCCAUAGGUGGAUUGGUCGCAUGACUAAUUCAUUAAAGGUGGCUCUGCUACCGCUCAUGGAUAGCCUCGCGGCGUAUUAGCUAGUUGGUAAGGUAAUGGCUUACCAAGGCAGUGAUACGUAGCCGACUUGAGAGGGUGAUCGGCCACACUGGGACUGAGACACGGCCCAGACUCCUACGGGAGGCAGCAGUAGGGAAUCUUCCACAAUGGGUGCAAACCUGAUGGAGCAAUGCCGCGUGAGUGAAGAAGGUCUUCGGAUCGUAAAGCUCUGUUGUUAGAGAAGAACACGUGCUAGGUAACUACUAGCGCCUUGACGGUAUCUAACCAGAAAGUCACGGCUAACUACGUGCCAGCAGCCGCGGUAAUACGUAGGUGACAAGCGUUGUCCGGAUUUAUUGGGCGUAAAGGGAGCGCAGGCGGUCUGUUUAGUCUAAUGUGAAAGCCCACGGCUUAACCGUGGAACGGCAUUGGAAACUGACAGACUUGAAUGUAGAAGAGGAAAAUGGAAUUCCAAGUGUAGCGGUGGAAUGCGUAGAUAUUUGGAGGAACACCAGUGGCGAAGGCGAUUUUCUGGUCUAACAUUGACGCUGAGGCUCGAAAGCGUGGGGAGCGAACA